AUCAACAACAUCCAUAAGUUUUACAACAGAUGGAUCUUCUAGCUCAAGCAGUGAUUCCACAACAUCCACAGCUUCUUCAGCUAACGGACCUCCUAGUACAAACACUGAAUCAACGACAUCCAUAAGUUUUACAAAUAACGAACCUUCUAGUACGAACACUGAAUCAACAACAUCCAUAAGUUUUACAACAGAUGGAUCUUCUAACUCAAGCAGUGAUUCUACAACACUCACAGCUUCUUCAG